rnacentral:rRNA from 1 species
GACGAACGUUGGCGGCGUGCUUAACACAUGCAAGUCGAACGGUAAGGCCCUUCGGGGUACACGAGUGGCGAACGGGUGAGUAACACGUGGGUGAUCUGCCCUGCACUUCGGGAUAAGCCUGGGAAACUGGGUCUAAUACCGGAUAGGACUCCGGACUGCAUGGUCUGGGGAGGAAAGCUUUUGCGGUGUGGGAUGGGCCCGCGGCCUAUCAGCUUGUUGGUGGGGUGAUGGCCUACCAAGGCGACGACGGGUAGCCGGCCUGAGAGGGUGACCGGCCACACUGGGACUGAGAUACGGCCCAGACUCCUACGGGAGGCAGCAGUGGGGAAUAUUGCACAAUGGGCGCAAGCCUGAUGCAGCGACGCCGCGUGAGGGAUGACGGCCUUCGGGUUGUAAACCUCUUUCAGCACAGACGAAGCGCAAGUGACGGUAUGUGCAGAAGAAGGACCGGCCAACUACGUGCCAGCCGCCGCGGUAA